AAGGAAUAUUGGUCACUGGAGGGAACUCUGAACCAGCCAUGCCGCGUGCAGGAUGACUGCCCUAUGGGUUGUAAACUGCUUUUGUCGGGGAAUACACCUACGUUUGUAAACGUAGCUGAAUGUACCCGAAGAAUAAGGAUCGGCUAACUCCGUGCCAGCAGCCGCGGUAAUACGGAGGAUCCAAGCGUUAUCCGGAUUUAUUGGGUUUAAAGGGUGCGUAGGCGGUUCUUUAAGUCAGAGGUGAAAGACGGCGGCUUAACUGUCGCAGUGCCUUUGAUACUGAAGAACUUGAAUAGGGUUGAGGAAUGCGGAAUGAGACAAGUAGCGGUGAAAUGCAUAGAUAUGUCUCAGAACCCCGAUUGCGAAGGCAGCAUUCCAAGCCUUUAUUGACGCUGAUGCACGAAAGCGUGGGGAUCGAAC
rnacentral:rRNA from 1 species